CUCUCGGCCCUGUGCGGGACUUCCCCGUGGUGAAGGGAGGGUUAAGUGUCUGGAGAAGCUCAGGGCUCCUUUUGCAUAUGAGCAUUUCCAUGUUAAUAGAACGGUUAAGGGAAGAUGCUCUCUGGCAAUUGAUUGUAUAAAUAUUUUAUCUGGAGUAAGUGGCCAGGAGGAGGUCUCCUGAAGAUGUUCCCGGAGAGCAGGGUGAAGGAUGAAAUCAGGGCGUUCUCGUGGAAGAAAUAAGAGGCCACCGGGAGUUGCAGACACUUGAUCCGAAGUGUAAAAAACAGUCCCCUCGCCUCGGUGCAGCCUGCAGCAGCCGGGGCCGAUUAAAUCCAUAAUGGAAUGAGUGAGUUUGGGCCGCAUAAAUUUGUCUUCCUUCCCCAGGAAUCCUGCCCGCCGCCUGGCUAGAUUAAUGGCCAGGAGCCUCGCACAUAAUGAAGUGUGCUACCCUGGCACCCGCUCAUGAAUUUAUUAUGGUGUCCACAAUUGGGCUGGAUGGCGGAGACAUCUUUAUAAAUCCUGCAUUUAGCGCCGCCGAGAUGAGCACUUGGCUCCUAAUGGUGAUCCUGAUUUAUCACCGGGGGCCCUGCUCCUCCGCCGGCCCUCCCCCGCGCCCCUCGAAGGAAAUCCAGGUCAUCCCGCUGAUGGAAAUGAAAUGUGAAGGAGAAGCCACCUGCCGUGUCAUGGCAGUCCAGUUUACGGAGACACUUACACAUAACGGCCCCGGGGCUGAGCUCCAGAGUCUUGAAAGCAGGUCCUGAGCUGCCCGGCGGAGCUGCUGGGGGGGCCGCGACCCAGGAGCCCUGAGAUGACAGGACUGAAGUGAGAAGAAGGGAAGACUUCCCAGCCGGAGGCUUGUCAGACUUUUUAAAACAAGAGCACGUGGCUGGAAGUGGUGGCCCACGCCUGUCAUCCCAGCAGCUCAGGAGGCUGAAGC